GAUAAAGAACGUAGCGAAAUGCGAUAAGUAGUGUGAAUUGCAGAAUUCAGUGAAUCAUCGAAUCUUUGAACGCACAUUGCGCCCCUUGGUAUCCCGAGGGGCAUGCCUGUUCGAGCGUCAUUUCACCACUCAAGCCUGGCUUGGUGUUGGGCGACGUCCUCUUUGGGGACGCGCCUCGAAACGCUCGGCGGCGUGGCACCGGCUUUAAGCGUAGCAGAAUCUUUCGCUUUGGAAGUCGGGGCCCCGUCUGCCGGAAGACCUGCUCGCAAGGUUGACCUCGGAUCAGGCAGGGAUACCCGCUGAACUUAAGCAUAUCAAUAAGCGGAGGA
rnacentral:misc_RNA from 1 species